GGGGAGAGAGAUGAGUAAUAUAGCAAAAAAUAUCAAAAAAUAAAUUAUAAAAUAGGAGGUGUUAAAGAGGCGCCAUAAUUUUACAAAACGAAUUUACGUAUAUAUAUAUCUACCAUCUUAUUCUUCUAUGUUACUCUUUUGUCCAUUUGCCUGCCAUUGUGCAUGAGACUGGUACGAGUCGACCCUCGAGUGAGCAAACUAAGUCGUCGAUUGUGGUCGGAGUUCUAGCAAAAUCAGCCUUGGGCCGGGUUCCCAACGAAACAAGCGGUGGCACGGCACACGCGAUAUUCAGCUGGUCGUGCUUCUAAUCGUUGCAGUUUCGCUUUUCGUUACGAAUGCCUGAGGAAGGAAGGUGCGUGCCAUGCUCGAUAAAAUCCGUCGAGGAACCUUCGGGAAAAAUUUCUUCGCCAUGUCGCGUGUCGUCCUAUAAAGUACCGUACCAAGCUUGCGACACCUCUCGAAAUACGUUCGAGUCAUUUUCGUGACAAUCUCGACCAUCUCGAGUUACAACAUCGAAACUGCUUUCUCUCGGACGUUUCUAUCGGGAAAAUUCGCUUUCAACGAAUAACCGAAUCGAGCUCUUCGUUUGUUUAUUUAAGCUCGUAGAAAUAUGAAUUUGCAUUAAAACGCACCAUCUAGUAAAUAUAUAUAGUGUAGUAGAAGUUUUCAAUGUUUCUGGAAAUAGCCAACAGAAGCAAAAUGAAAAAUCCACAUCGAGCAAUCUUGAAACUGUUCUUUUUUCUUAUUUUUUCAUCGAAUUUGAUUUUAGGUUCUAUUCCUUGAUUUAUCUUUGCAAAAAUAUAAAUUUACAUCGAAACGCGUUAUAUAGACGCGAAUACUAGUUUACUCUUUCAUUUAGUUGAAGUUUGGUAAUUCUGUUUCGUUGAACUUCAUGUGAUAAAAAUGAAACGGAAUAUACAUCUGCUCUCGGUUGAAUUUACUUCAAUUCUGACGUCGCAUUCGUAUCUUUCUAAGGAAGUCGUAGAAACUCUCCGAAACGCGUUAUCCUACAUUUUUACGAUUUUCAUACAAAGUUACGAAGCAAUCAGUUCGACUUUCAAAUCUGUAAUCCCCUCACUGACGGCGGCAUUGGUAAACUUCGAAUCCUCUACUUCUCCUCUACUUUUAUAACGAUGCUUGUCGAUACAUUUUACAUUUAUGACAAACUGCUGGUUAGAAACGAUGCUUAUUGUCAACAAACACAGAUUAUUCGCUGCAGUAAUUACUUCUUCAGCAAAUCAAUAUUUAUUUCUAUUGUGUAUCAAAAUAUCGACGAUAAAAAUACAGUAAUAUAUUAUAGGUUAGAAACGAUGCUUAAUGUCAAGAAACACGGACUAUAUGCCAUGGAAAUUAUAUUUUGACCAACUCGAUAUUUAUUCUUAAAAGCUGAAACCUAAUCUUCUUCCAAAUUGUGUGUCGAAAUAACAACAAUGAAGAUACAAUGAUACAUCGUAGGUUAGAAACGACGCUUAUCGUCAAGAAAGGCAAACUAUUUGCCGUGGAAAUUAUAUCUUGACCAACCCGAUAUUUAUUCUUAAAAGCUGAAACCUGAUUUUCUUCCAAAUUGUGUAUUGAAAUAUCAACAACGAAGAUACAAUAAUACAUUGUAGGUUAGAAACUGUUUUAUCGACAAGGAACAAAAGAAUCUUAUCUACCGUGGAAAUUCGACGUUACUUCUCAACAACUAUUUUAUCCUUAAAAGCUCGAAUUUAUUUAAAGAGACAUCGCAUUGCGCGCGUACGGUAGAAGAGAACCGUUGUACUACUUUUCCCUAUUUAUUUCCCAUUUGAUCAAACGAGUACGCGAGCAAACAGGAGAAAGAACAAAUACGUCCUCGACGUUCGUCUCUCUAAACUUUCCAAAGCUUUCCAAUUUCAGUUCGUCAGUUUUUUUUUCACCUAUCCUGAAUUCACAACCAGGCAAGCAAACCUAAUCGAUACGUUUGAAAACAGGUUUUUCUCGCAACAAGCUUUCGUUAGUGGUAAAAUUCAGAUGGAUUGGAGAGAGCGGUUGAUGUUUUCGAGGGAAACACAUCGAGUAUGUACAGGCACGUAGCAUGGGUACGGCCAUUAUUCGAGGGAAUCGUCGGCCUCCUAAUAACGGAGAUACCGUCGUUGAUUCCGUUAUCUCGUUGUCAUUCAACGAGAUCGUUCCGUAUUCCAGGCUCGUCCCGGAAUAUCGGCAAUUUUCAAUGAUCGUUCCACCGGAACGCACAAUACCCACCAAAGUCUAUUAAAUUCCGCUCGAUUCCGCGCCGCGGACGACAAGUCAAAUCUUGUCUCGAUUAUUGUUGCCGUUCUUUGCCGAUUGCCUGACGUAUUCAGAUAUUUUAGGUAUUUUUAGCAAGCAAGCAAAUAUUGUAAUUCGAAUCCAGCGUGAAAGUAUAUAGGGUGUAUCUUUUGGCAAGAAGAUGAUAAGAAUAUCACGAGGUGUGGACUGAAUUGGCUGUAUCUAUAUUCGAUGCUUUAGGUUGACGAGAAAAACCGCUGUGAAAGGAUUCGAGUGCACGGUGCUUUAUUUUCGAGAAAUUAGUAAGUUUCCUUAUUUUUAUUUUAUUAAAUUUCUAUAAUUUAUCUUGUUCAACUUUCGAUCGUUUUAAUUUAUUAUAGUACUCUUGCAUAUUGUUACGAUUCACUGGGUGGAGAUUGUAACGAAGACAUUUUAAAAUAGAAGAAAUUAAUUUAAAGAAGUUAAUUUCACGUAGACAAGAUGCGAUUAAAUUCUUUCGGGGCUGUUUUAGCAUCGAUCCAAGGGAUCCAAUGCAGAUAUACCAACUCACUCACUCUCUUCCGAGAUUUCGUAGUUCCUGUCGUUCCUUCGUAAGAUCUGUAGGUGUUUUUUUUUUUUGUUGUUGUUGUUGUUUAUUUAGCCCAAGAUACAGUUUUAGAUACAUAUUCACAAUAAACGGUGAAUUUUCACAAUAAACGGAGCUAGGUGGAAAGGAGCGUUUUGCGUUUCGUCCCGGGACUACCGGUGGACUCGUCAGUAAGGCUAUGCCCGGUAGUCCCUGCCUUAGACGUAGAGGGAGUCUCGCUAGGUGCAGUAUUUGUAUCAUGCGCUCGUAUAUUCGACCACUAGCGAGAUAGACUCGUUGUCGUCGUAGCCCUCUGGUGUUGGUGGUUGGUACCCGCGGAUCGCCCGGGAGGUGUUGCGCCGCGUUGAUGCCUCGACCUGUCGGCGUCCUGUUGAUACCGAUCCGCCACAGAUCGAUCACCGUUUUCAGGACAUUUCCAACAACGUGAAAAGGAAAUGUUUCGAAAGAAGAAGAAUUAGUGUUCGGUGCACUGCACGUUUGGAUAUAAAGAAACUGUCUUUCGAUAAAAACUCCAAGUCACCUAGAUUUUUCAUAUACAACAUAUUUUUCAUUUCUAUAUUUUAUUUGUCAUAGUCACUGCAAUUUCAAUAGCAAAGCUCUGCGGCAUACAGCUAUGGACUCUUGAAAAUGGCAGACGACAUCCACUUAGGACUCUCGCAACAGAACCACCGACUACAAAUAUGUUAAAAAGGUUAACAAUCUCCACUUCGAUCCUCCUGUAGUUUAUACCAACUGUUCAUCGAGCAAAUAAAAAAAAAAAGAGAAAA